rnacentral:rRNA from 1 species
AUUGAACGCUGGCGGCAGGCCUAACACAUGCAAGUCGAGCGAGCGGCGGACGGGUGAGUAAUGUAUGGGGACUGCCCGAUAGAGGGGGAUAACUACUGGAAACGGUGGCUAAUACCGCAUACUAUCGGAUAACCCAUAUGGGAUUAGCUAGUAGGUGGGGUAAAGGCUCACCUAGGCGACGAUCUCUAGCUGGUCUGAGAGGAUGAUCAGCAACGUUGGGACUGAGAUACGGCCCAGCAUCCUACGGAGGCAGCAGUGGGGAAUUUUUCACAGUGGGCGCAAGGCUGAUGCAGCCAUGCCUCGUGUAUGAGGAGGUCCUUAGGGUUGUAAAGUACUUUCAGCAGGGAGGCGUUACCCGCCGAAGAAGCACCGGCUAACUCCGUGCCAGCCGCCGCGGUAAUUC